GCAUAAUCAUUUGCCUUCUAAUUAGAGGAUAGUAUGAAUGGAUAAACGCAAUUUUUACUUUAUUAUUUUUACCUAUAAAACUUAAAUUCUACGUGCAGAUGCGUGGAUCCCAUUGAAAGACAAGAAGACCCUAUAGAGUUUUAGUUAACGGGGACCCCUAUAGUACCUAUAACUUUAGUUGGGGCGACUUAGGGUACCACAAAACACCCUAAAAUAUAAAGAGAUAUGCCUCUCUCAAUUUGAUCCAUAAAUAUGAACAAAAAAAUAAACUACCUUAGGGAUAACAGGCUAAUCUUCUUUUAGAGUCCAUAUCGACAAGAAGGUUUGGCACCUCGAUGUUGGCUUAGAGUCUCCUACUAUUGUAACAGAUAAUAAUGGAAAGUUUGUUCAACUUAUAAUACUCU
rnacentral:rRNA from 1 species